rnacentral:tRNA from 1 species
GGGAAUGUGACCCAGUGGUUGGGUGCCUGCUUAGCAUGCACAAGGCCCUGGGUUCAAUCCCCAGCAUUUCAC